GACGAACGCUGGCGGCGUGCUUAACACAUGCAAGUCGAACGGAAAGGCCCUGCUUUUGUGGGGUUCUCGAGUGGCGAACGGGUGAGUAACACGUGAGUAACCUGCCCUUGACUUUGGGAUAACUUCAGGAAACUGGGGCUACUACCGGAUAGGAGCUCCUGCUGCAUGGUGGGGGUUGGAAAGUUUCGGCGGUUGGGGAUGGACUCGCGGCUUAUCAGCUUGUUGGUGGGGUAGUGGCUUACCAAGGCUUUGACGGGUAGCCGGCCUGAGAGGGUGACCGGCCACAUUGGGACUGAGAUACGGACCAGACGCCUACGGGAGGCAGCAGUGGGGAAUAUUGCACAAUGGGCGGAAGCCGGAUGCAGCAACGCCGCGUGCGGGAUGACGGCCUUCGGGUUGUAAACCGCUUUCGCCUGUGACGAAGCGUGAGUGACGGUAAUGGGUAAAGAAGCACCGGCUAACUACGUG
rnacentral:rRNA from 1 species